UCACCCAAAAAGGUCCAGGAACUUCAGGGGUCACCUCUACCAAUUUUCUCUAUCAUUAAAAACCAAGAAAUCAUAGAGGUUAUGUAAUCUAGGCUCGGGAAGCUCGUGGCAACAUCGUAUUAUUGUAAUUAUUGCGAAGCGAGGUGAAAGAUGGAAGGAUUUUGGGUUUGAAUCCAUUAAGGAUCAAUUGGAAGUUAAUAAGGUUCGGGUGAAGGGAAAGCAUCGGAAUAAGGGGUUCUUUCAAGUAACGGCUCGACAACUAAGGUCCUAACUGACAGAGCAGAGGACCUCUUCAGUAGGAUUAUUAGCUUCAGCGGAUCGUCAGCAAGUGCCAUUGUACCAGGCUUGCUCUUUUGGAAUAUGCUAUGUCCAUAUAUUAUGUAUAUGCACUCCUAGAGGCUCAUAGACAGUAUGAUGUAUGUAGAUGUCAUGUGCAGCCUUGCCGGCUACAUGUUAUUAUGAGGACAUUUGUAGAAGCCUGCUUGA